ACAAGGGUAUAAAAUAGGAAGAGACAUUAAACUAAAUCAAUGAUGGUGUAUGAUACAGUACAGUUACAUAUGACCAUAACAAUUAAAAUAGUCAGAGAAGCAUCCAUAAAAAAACUUUAUAAACUGAACCAACGCUAGAAAAUACCACUUUCCACGCACAAGCAUUCCAUUCGCUUUCACAAUCCUUUUGAGCUUGAUAGCCUCAAGCUGAGACAAAGACAAAAGACAAAGACAAUAUAUUAUUACCAAAAUUCUAGCCAAGUGAACAAACACACCACCAACUAACCUUAUCUUUGUUGUACUCUUCCAGAGCAAUUUAUUAAUUUUGAGAAUAAUUAAUUAAUUAAUUAGUAGAACAGAACAGAUGAAACCCAGCUUUGGGGGAAAUAAGAAUGAUAUUAUUGAGGGUGAAGAGUUUCGUAAUGAUAAGAAUAUGGAAAUGGAAGUAAGACAAGUAUGGAAAAGAAGAGGAGUAAGGUGUCCAAAGGGAACCAUACCAGUUCGACGAAUCAACAACAGAACCAUCAACCACCCACUUAGCAGGCCCAUAAGGAAACCAUACUACUUUCAUACUAACAAUGACAAUUUACAAAAUUUAUUAAUACUAAUAAAUUGCAUAUGUCCAUAUUGGGAAAAAAAAUAUUAUAUAUAAAAAAAACAAAUUUCUCUCAUAUUUAUAUAACUUUCAUUGGUAAAAUUAUUUUAUCAUAGCAUCUAUCUUUAUUGUUGGUGACUUUUUUUUGACAAUUUUGCCAACCAUAAUUUUUUUUCCAACCAAUAAUAUAUAUAUUGAGAUAUGUUUAAUAAAUAAAAUUAAUUCAUAUAUGAGAUAGCUAUGAGAUAGCAGCAGAAGAUAGAUUUGACACUUCAAUAUUUAUUUUAUGCUUUGUGUAGAUAAUUGACCAGCCUCACGGGAAACUCUUACUUUUGUUUGCAUAUUUCAAGAGGUGAUGAAGAUAGCGAAACGAGAAUUGGAUGCUUGCAAUUAAUAAGGAGAUAAUAUUGGACAAAU